rnacentral:rRNA from 1 species
UAAUAAACUAAAACUUUCAACAACGGAUCUCUUGGUUCUGGCAUCGAUGAAGAACGCAGCGAAAUGCGAUAAGUAAUGUGAAUUGCAGAAUUCAGUGAAUCAUCGAAUCUUUGAACGCACAUUGCGCCCCUUGGUAUUCCGAGGGGCAUGCCUGUUCGAGCGUCAUUUCAACCCUCAAGCUCUGCUUGGUAUUGGGCCCCGUCCUCC